rnacentral:rRNA from 2 species
GCAUAUCAAUAAGCGGAGGAAAAGAAACUAACAAGGAUUCCCUUAGUAACGGCGAGUGAACCGGGAAGAGCUCAAAUUUGUAAUCUGGCGUCCUUCGGGCGUCCGAGUUGUAAUCUAUAGAGGUGUUUUCCGCGCCGGACCACGUUUAAGUCUCCUGGAACGGAGUAUCAAAGAGGGUGACAAUCCCGUACUUGACGUGACGACCGGUGCUAUGUGAUACACUCUCAACGAGUCGAGUUGUUUGGGAAUGCAGCUCUAAAUGGGUGGUAAAUUCCAUCUAAGGCUAAAUAUUGGCGAGAGACCGAUAGCGAACAAGUACCGUGAGGGAAAGAUGAAAAGCACUUUGGAAAGAGAGUUAAACAGCACGUGAAAUUGUUAAAAGGGAAACGAUUGAAGUCAGUCGUGCACUUGGUAUUCAGCCGUCUCUGACGGUGUAUUUGCCUUGUGCGGGUCAACAUCAGUUCUGAUCGGCGGAAAAGGGCUGGAAGAAGGUGGCACCCUCGGGUGUGUUAUAGCUUCCUGUCGUAUACGUCGGUUGGGACUGAGGAAUGCAGCUUGCCGCAAGGCCGGGGUUCGCCCACGUUCAAGCUUAGGAUGUUGACAUAAUGGCUUUAAACGACCCGUCUUGAAACACGGACC